AUUCGCACGCUCAUACUAAUUAAUUAGCAAGAAAACAAUAAUUAAUUAAUUAGACAAAAAGAACAAACACGUGUGUGGACCACGGAGGAGGCGGCGACGAGAGUGGGAGCAUCGGAGGGGCGAGGAUGGCAGCGGCCAUGGGCUUCUCGUCCUGUUCUUUCACGACUCUGAUGGCGUCGGCUCCUCGGUUACCGGCGAUGGCUUCCCUCACCCUCGCAUUUUAGGCGGGAGGACGCUCGCCUUCGAUACCCGCCUCGCCCGCCCGCGGCUGCGGAAACCGGGGAGGGGGCGGCCUCGGGUGCCGAUGCGUGUUUGGUCUUGGCUUCCCCGUGCUCUUCGUGACCUAUGGAGUGGUGGCGCUCGUCUUCGGCCCGAGGAAGCUUCCCGAAAUCGGACGGAGCGUCGGCAAGACUCUCAAGGGCUUCCAACAGGUUUGUUUAAUGCCCGUUCGGUUGUUGAUUAUACGGCCUUUCUAUACUUCUCAAGAAGCUUAAAGAUUAUUAGUGGUGGAACUUCAAGUAAUCUUGCUACACACUUAUUCUGUAGUACCAAAUGGUUUAUAUUCAGUUUAUUCUAGCUACUUUGAACCACUUAACAUCCAUUAUCAACUGCUAAUGAACCAGGAUCUUUGGAUUUAGUUUAUUCUUGCUCUUUUGAAUCACAUGACAUCCAUUUUCAACCGCUAAUGAACCAGGGUCUUUCUUUUGUUUCACUUUCCUUAAAAUUGUUUUGAUAUUUUUUUGGUUUCAAUUGGAGUGAACUUGCUGUUAUUCAAGUAAAAUUUCAAUAACCCCUCACUAAGCAUUAUAGUUGUGAUUAGGUUGUGCUCACUAAUGAUGCAUCUAAUUAAAAAUGUAGUCUACUUUUAUGGAACAAUUUCUUCCAUAUCAAGUGGAUUUGUUAGUGACAUGGUCUAUGAGUUACUCUCUUGUUUUUAUGUGGUGGCAAUAAUACGUUUAAAACUGAGAAUUUUUUAUUUAGGGUACAGGGUAGCACAUCAAUGAUGGUAACCUUAUCUAGGUAUCAUACUAGGUGUAUUUGUUAUCUAUAAGAGUCCCAGUUCAAUAACUUUUGUAUGAUUUGAGAUUCUUUCAUGACCAUGUGUGAAAUGACAAGUUGGUUGUUGUUUACUUUGCCUUUUGUAUUGAAACUAGGUAUCUUAAAGAAUGUAGCAAAUAGAGAAAAUUAUAUUUUUAGUCCCCUAAGUUGCACUUUUUCAAUUUUGAUCAUGUUAUCUACAAAUUCACAUUCUUAGUACAUUAACUUGCAUUGUUUUCCAAUUUCAAUCCUUUUUUGUCUGGAAUUUGAAUUGAUCACCUGUAAUUGCCUGAUGGCGGCAGCAAUGCUGAAAUAGAAAAUGAAUUUGGGCAUUUUUGCUUUUGGUGGACAAAUCGCGUACAUGGCAAAUUUUUUAUUUCCACCUGGCCAUUAAAAUAAAUAAGGAAUACAAAAUCAAAGCCACAACACCUUAAAAAUAAAAUCAAUAAAAUAAAAUUCUUAAAAAAAAUAUUACACUCAUCAUAUUUCUUCAAUCCAUUGUUCAACAGUCACAACAAGAUAGAUCAAAUACAAAGUCCUUAAAUACUCUAAAAGCUUCAAAUCUGCAAAAUCACCCAUUAAAACAUCCACAAAACAAACAAAAGCAACCAUGGCAGCACAACCAGUAACUUUAGAGCUUUAUUCUCCCUCGCCAUUUUUCGAUUUUCUUUUUCAAGCACAGUUAACUUCCGUUUUAAUCCUGGAAUUAUGGUGCUCUAUAGCACAUUGGUGGAUCUUUCCAAACAAAAAAGUCACAACCAUCCUUCUGUCAAAAACAAGAGUGUGAGACAUUAACAUUCACAAUAACAUCAAUAAUGAUUAAGGAUAAAUGAAAGGGAAAAAAAUAUCACCUUCCGAUCACUACAGCCAUGAAACCUCCUACCGGGGUUAUUAUUUGUCCAAGAAGUUUGCAACACUAACCGUUUCGCGCAUUUAUAGAACAUGAAUACACUUCCGGAGGAUGAAGACAUCUUGCUCUUUCAAAUAAAUUACAGAUCCAAACGUGAAUGUUGCUUCAUUAUCUUCCUACUUAUGUGAGAAAAUCAGAUUCAGAAGCUUGGGUCGAGUUACAGGUUUCCGAUUAGGAUUUAUGAUGGAGAAGAAUGGGGGAUCGUUGGUUUGGGGGGAAGAUCUAUAAUGGGUGUAAUAUUUGUUUUUAAGAAUUUCAUUUUAUUGAUUUUAUUUUUAAGGUGAUGUGGCUUUGAUUUUGUGUUCCUUAUUUAUUUUAAUGCCCGGGUGGACUUAAAAAAUUUACCACAUAGGUGAUUUGACCACCAAAAGCAAAAAUGACCUAAUUCAUUUUCCAUGUCAGCAUCGCCGCCGCUAGCUAGGCAAUUAAAGGUGGUCAAUUAGAAUUCUGGCCAAAAAAAAACAAAGGAUUGAAAUUGGGAAAAAAUGCAAGUUAAUGCUGAAUGUGAAUUUGUAGAUAACAAGAACCAAAUUGGAAAAAAUGCAACUUACAGGACCAAAAAUAUAAUUCGCUCUAGCAAACAUGGAGGAAAUUUCCUAGAAAAUUGUAAGCUCCAGAAGAAUGCCAUGGAAGUAAUAUUAUAACAAUAUCAAACUCUCAUCUUGGAAACGUUGGGAAAGAAAGUAUUGAUCUUCUUUGUUUUUUGGUCAAAAGAUAGCAUUAACCAAACCAAACUUGCCAAAUGACCAAUAUAUUGCUACAUAAUAGUAUUUGGUUACCUUUUGUGAUAAAUAUGUCAUCUUUGGAUGGCUCAUUUCUGGAUUUUUCAUUACUAGUUCAAUCAUUGAUAUGCGAAGCAAAAUCCAUUCUGCAGUUAAAAUAACUUAAUUUUCUCCUCUCUUUAAACUGGUACGAGAAGCUAUAGAAUACUUUGUUGCUGCAUCUGGCCCUCUUUGUACUGAUUUAUUCUAGAGGGUCCCUUCUAAAUCCUCUGCAUUCAACAAGUCAUGACAAUGUUCUCUUACACCACAAGUAGGUGAAAUUGUCCAUAAGCCUAUUCGAGAUACAGAAUAAAGCAGAAGUAAUCAACCUAGUUUGAUCACACGUCAGAGUGAGCGACCUAGUUUGGCCACAAAUCAUAAAUGUGUUGGCUAGAAGGGUGUUCAGUUGGCCAUCAGUGUAGCUGAAUUAAUCACGAUUCACUUGACCUCGAGGACACUAAAUCAUAAGCAGGUAGAUGAUAAUGCUCGAGUUUAGACCAGCAAGCAGAUGGACUAGUUUUUGUAGGUUCGUACUUUGUAGGCACAAGAUUCCUGUUGUCAACUUCAGUGCUGAAGCAUGUUUUAAAAAAUAAAAGAACUAGAAAAGUGCUUAAAAAUUUUGGGUUCACAUAGUUUUUUUCAGGCCUGUGCCUAGGCACACCCAGGUAAAACACUCUUCUUGAGUUGGAGGUCCUCCUUGAGCUGGAGUUACUGCUGGGGAAAUUUUACAGCUAACAUGCAGGACAAGGAUCAAAUGUUUAACCGUUUCCAUACUCGAGCUGGAAUGCCUGAGAGUGCAUGUUUUUCAUCAGGGAUACUUAUUUAUAUUGGACCUUAACUUACAAUACGGAGUUCAUUUGUUUGUGUUUAUUGAGCUUGCCAGGGUUUAACACAGUUAGUGCCGGAAAACUAAAGCGCGAGUUCACCAUAUUGCCUUUGAGUUCUAUUCCUGGUCUUAUCCUUUAUUUUUUCAGCCAGCAAAAGAAUUUGAAACUGAAUUGAAUUGAAAAAGAAUCUCGAAGACUCCCCAAAGUUGUUACUGAUCAAGGACUCAAAACUGCAAGUGCCAAAAAUCACGAGUAAUUCUUCACUUCUUCUCUUAUACUGUAAGUCUCUGCUCACACUCGUAUAUUUCCUGAAUAUAAUUUGCUUAGGAACAUGUUACUCUUUCAAAAUGGGUGAUUCAUUUAAGCCUCUUGGAACUCGUUCUUAGUCAAAAGUACUUCAAAGGGCUUUGUGUCUAGUCUCUUCUGGCUCCUCCUCUACUUUCCAAGUCCAUUAUAGUAUCCUUUGCCUUUGCAAAGGCUAGGACAUGAUCAGAAGGAAGUUUCGUUGUAGUGUCAUUAUUGAUUAAGACUUGUUAUUAUAUUAUUUUCUGUAUGACUCUUUGACUGAUUGCUUCUCC